GCAGAGGACCCUGCGGCCUUCCGCAGUGUUUGUGUCCCUGGGUACUUGAGAUUAGGGAGUGGUGAUGACUCUUAACGAGCAUGCUGCCUUCAAGCAUCUGUUUAACAAAGCACAUCUUGCACCGCCCUUAAUCCAUUUAACCCUGAGUGGACACAGCACAUGUUUCAGAGAGCACAGGGUUGGGGGUAAGGUCACAGAUCAAGAGGAUCCCAAGGCAGAAGAAUUUUUC
rnacentral:lncRNA from 1 species